GGCUACCUGGCCCAAUGGUAGCGCGUAUCGUCGAUGGCUACCAAAAGGUUGCAGGUUCGAUCCGGCGGUGUUCG